rnacentral:rRNA from 1 species
GACGAACGCUGGCGGCGUGCUUAACACAUGCAAGUCGAACGGAAAGGCCCUGCUUUUGUGGGGUGCUCGAGUGGCGAACGGGUGAGUAACACGUGAGUAACCUGCCCUUGACUUUGGGAUAACUUCAGGAAACUGGGGCUCAUACCGGAUAGGAGCUCCUGCUGCAUGGUGGGGGUUGGAAAGUUUCGGCGGUUGGGGAUGGACUCGCGGCUUAUCAGCUUGUUGGUGGGGUAGUGGCUUACCAAGGCUUUGACGGGUAGCCGGCCUGAGAGGGGGACCGGCCACAUUGGUACUGAGAUACGGCCCAGACUCCUACGGGAGGCAGUAGUGGGGAAUAUUGCACAAUGGGCGGAAGCCAGAUGCAGCAACGCCGCGUGCGUGAUGACGGCCUUCGGGGUGUAAACCGCUUUCGCCUGUGACGAAGCGUGAGUGACGGUAAUGGGUAAAGAAGCACCGGCUAACUACGUG